AAUUAAUGUACAAUUUUUCUUAUAUUAUAUAAGUUAUGUAUCUUAUUAUUCAAAUUCAGGAUUCAAAAUUUAUGGAAUGAUUCAAUAACCAUUCUUUGCUUUGUUGCACUUGAUCAGAAAAGAUUAGGAUUGAGUUGUGAUUUGUUUUUUCUGCCGCCAGUGUUUAGAUAGAUUUUUGUGCAAUGAUCUGCAUCUCAUCUAGUCUCUGAGAUCCUGUGAACAUUUUGGUGUUUUGAUUUUUUACCCGUACAUUAUCUAAUGGGGUUAUUCGUUGCCAAAUAUUUCAUGACAAAAAUCUACCAAAAGUGUUCAUUUUUGUUCAUACCAUUUCAUCAUGCCAGGAAUGAAAAACAAAAGUGUUUAAGUGUUUUAGGUGUUGAAAUGUUUUGAUUAAUUUUUUUAAGCACGUGUUGAUUGAACAACUCGGGUUUGACAUUUGAUCAUAAACAUAAGCAUUUAGCUGCCAUUUGCCUCUCUGUAGAGGUGUUUAUGCAGUUGAAGUGGGUUUUUAUAUAGAAGAAGUGGUUUUCUCUUCUUUUUAUUGGUGUAGCAUGAUCUCAUUUCAUCAAUUUGUUGUGCUUGGUUUUGUCCUCACAGUGAACUCAAGUAAGUGUGGGCGUUUGUGGAAGAAGUUGGCUCUCCAAUAAAAUGACUUGGUGAUUUUAUAUUCCUAGUUUCUGUUUUCAUCAAGGUUGUGUUGGUUUUGGGUGAAGUAUAUGGUGUUUGCGAAAAAUUGAAUGUGCCCAGAUUGAAGAAGUCUUGAAUUAAUAGUACGUCAGCUUAAGUCAAUUGGAUGUGAUAUUUUAUUUGACAAUAGACAUCUAUCAAUCUGUGUGUUGAACUGUUUGUCAUUUUCUUUCAUCAGCACACUACGGGGGGGAUUGGAAAACCUGAUCAUUUAGAACAGCCAAUGGCUUUGGAUGAUAACCUAAUUUCUUCUAAGUUGGCUCUACUGUCAUAUUUCUUUUCCUUUGGACUUGAUCACCAAACAUAAGGAUUGAUUUCUUACUUGUUUCUCUCCAGAGUUUCUCCAUUGGUUUUCAUUCUUGAAUUUUUGAACUCACCUCAGUUUCUAUAGUAACAUAACAUAUACUAGGAAGACAAGCAAUCGAUGUGUGGUGUUUGAGCUCUUUCUUGAGUUUUCAUUAGUACUAGUUCUAUUCUAAUUCUGAAUAUGGUUUGCACUCUUCACCCUCAUAAACACCUAUUUACUUAUUUCUGGUUGGGUUCUCACUUUUUGUGAUAGGAUGUGGAGGCAGAUGCUAUCUUUUAUUGGCUAUGUUUCUCAGUCGAAGUCCCUUACUGAUUUUGUUCAAUCUCAAAAGCUUAUUAUUUUGCUAUUGGUGUGUGGGACAGGCUUUGGAAGCAGUGGAUGGAUAAUAUCCAGGAAAAUUUAGGUUUUAUUAUCAUUCUAUUCAUUAUUUUCUUCACAGUUAUUCUUCGUCCUAAACAUGUGGAGUGGGAGUUUGUAAACAGACACCAUAUGAGUAUGAGAGGCUUUGGCAUUUGUAUAGUUCUGCGUAUGACUAGCUUUGCAGUGAAGACUUGCUAUUGAUGUCUGUUGGGUUGUGGAGGCAAUGGCUGUAGUCUCCCUCAUUGCUUGAAUAAUACUUGGAAGGUCGUUCAUGUUCUACCCAGUUGAUUAUAUUUUUGUUGAAUUCAUGGACUUUCCAUGAAAGCCAAGCAUUGAAGUGUGGUGUAAAUGUGCAAAUGAUGCAUGAAAUUCUGUGCUCGCUAAAGGUUUUAUUUACAGGUACAGUACUGUGUUUUCUGGAUUAAUGUUUAACUGGCUAAACUAGUUUGUUUGAUUCUUGACUGUAACUUGCACUACAAGAGAACUGUUACAAAGUGACAUUUGAAGUGGACUUGUCGUUCUUUUGGGCUUUACUCUUUCAUUUGAUGGUUUGCUCAAAUUCUUUCCAUUCAUUAUAUUUCAUUUUUGUUUGAUUUGGAUGGGAAUUGUUGUAUUUCUAAGCAUGGGCGAUACUGGAGUUUUGGAGAAGAUAUUUUAAAUGGUAUGUGCAAGUUUUAAAUGUGAUGUGCUUGUCAGAUAUUUUCUAGGUAUAUAGAUGCACUUUUAAUAGCUA